GAUGAACGCUGGCGGCGUGCCUAAUACAUGCAAGUCGAGCGAACGGACGAGAAGCUUGCUUCUCUGAUGUUAGCGGCGGACGGGUGAGUAACACGUGGAUAACCUACCUAUAAGACUGGGAUAACUUCGGGAAACCGGAGCUAAUACCGGACAAUAUUUUGAACCGCAUGGUUCAAAAGUGAAAGACGGUCUUGCUGACACUUAUAGAUGUAUCCGCGCUGCAUUAGCUAGUUGGUAAGGUAACGGCUUACCAAGGCAACGAUGCAUAGCUGACCUGAGAGGGUGAUCGGCCACACUGGAACUGAGACACGGUCCAGACUCCUACGGGAGGCAGCAGUAGGGAAUCUUCCGCAAUGGGCGAAAGCCUGACGGAGCAACGCCGCGUGAGUGAAGAAGGUCUUCGGAUCGUAAAACUCUGUUAGUAGGGAAGAACAUAUGUGUGAGUAACUGUGCACAUCUUGACGGUACCUAAUCAGAAAGCCACGGCUAACUACGUG
rnacentral:rRNA from 1 species